rnacentral:rRNA from 1 species
CCAAUAGCGUAUAUUAAAGUUGUUGCAGUUAAAAAGCUCGUAGUUGAAUUUCGGGAUCAAUUUGUCGGUCGUGCCUCGGUACGCACUGGCUUAUUGGUUUCUCCUUUCUGAAGAACCAUGAUGUCAUUUAUUUGGUGUCGUGGGGAAUCAGGACUGUUACUUUGAAAAAAUUAGAGUGUUUAAAGCAGGCUCACGCUUGAAUACAUUAGCAUGGAAUAAUGAAAUAGGACGUUUGAUUCUAUUUUGUUGGUUUCUAGGAUCGACGCAAUGAUUAAUAGGGAUAGUUGGGGGCAUUAGUAUUCAAUUGUCAGAGGUGAAAUUCUUGGAUUUAUUGAAGACUAACUACUGCGAAAGCAUUUGCCAAGGAUGUUUUCAUUAAUCAAGAACGAAAGUUAGGGGAUCGAAGACGAUCAGAUACCGUCGUAGUCUUAACCAUAAACUAUGCCGACUAGGGAUCGGAUGAUGUUAAUUUUUUAAUGACUCAUUCGGCGCCUUACG